CUACGGGCCGCUGCAGUGAGGAAUAUUGGUCAAUGGAGGCAACUCUGAACCAGCCAUGCCGCGUGAAGGAUGACGGCCCUAUGGGUUGUAAACUUCUUUUAUAUGGGAAGAAACUUAUCUACGUGUAGAUAACUGACGGUACCAUACGAAUAAGGAUCGGCUAACUCCGUGCCAGCAGCCGCGGUAAUACGGAGGAUCCAAGCGUUAUCCGGAUUCAUUGGGUUUAAAGGGUCCGUAGGCGGAUUUUUAAGUCAGUGGUGAAAGCCGACAGCUCAACUGUCGAACUGCCAUUGAUACUGGAAGUCGUGAGUGUAAAUGAAGUGGGCGGAAUGAGUCAUGUAGCGGUGAAAUGCAUAGAUAUGACUCAGAACACCGAUUGCGAAGGCAGCUCACUAACAUACAACUGACGCUGAGGGACGAAAGCGUGGGGAGCGAACAGGAUUAGAUACCCGAGUAGUC
rnacentral:rRNA from 1 species